UUGGAGGGCAAGCUGGUGCCUGCAGCCGCGGUAAUUCCAGCUCCAAUAGCGUAUAUUAAAGUUGUUGAGGUUAAAAAGCUCGUAGUUGAACCUUGGGCCUAGCCGGCCGGUCCGCCUCACCGCGUGCACUGGCUCGGCUGGGUCUUUCCUUCUGGAUAACCUCAUGCCCUUCACUGGGUGUGCUGGGGACCAGGACUUUUACUCUGAACAAAUUAGAUCGCUUAAAGAAGGCCUUUGCUCGAAUACAUUAGCAUGGAAUAAUAGAAUAGG
rnacentral:rRNA from 1 species